rnacentral:lncRNA from 1 species
GUUUGAUGUACAGGGUGGAGCGGAGAAAACGCGCGCUUUUCAUUACUGAAUAACUUCCUCUCUUUUAUCUAUAGAAGAAAAAAGUUUUACAUUAAAUAGUAAUAUUUUUAUUUUUGAAAUCUACAGACAUUAAUUAGGUUCGGAAAAUAAUGUCGGUAAGAUGACGUUCUUCUUGUCGGACGCAAAUUCGGAGUUUCUCCUCGAUGCUCUGCAAAUGUUUGCUUCUCAAAGCUCCAACAUUUCAUUCGACAAUCCGAUCGAAUGAAAUGUUGUUUCGAUUUCUUGACGAAUGGAAAUUUUCGGGUCAUCGAUUGUGCGUGGUUCGUUCACGUACACUCCAUUUCGGGUAGCCCCGCAAAAAAAUCCCAGAUCGAUAGAUCGGGAGAACGUGGGGACCGAGGAACAUCGCCGAAUGGUGAAAUGCAUGUCCAGGAAACAUUUGUCGAACCACUUCCACGGAUGCUCUCGCCGUGUGAGCUGUGGCACCAUUCUGUUCGAACCACAUUUCUGUCGUAUUCACUCGAU